UACGGAGGAUGCAAGCGUUAUCCGGAAUGAUUGGGCGUAAAGCGUCCGCAGGUGGCUAUGUAAGUCUGCUGUUAAAGAGUGAGGCUCAACCUCAUAAGAGCAGUGGAAACUACAUGGCUAGAGUGCGUUCGGGGCAGAGGGAAUUCCUGGUGUAGCGGUGAAAUGCGUAGAUAUCAGGAGGAACACCGGUGGCGAAGGCGGCAUCCUGGACCGACACUGACGCUGAGGAGCGAAAGCCAGGGGAGCAAACGGG
rnacentral:rRNA from 1 species